AGAGGUUUUUUUUUUAUUUGUAGUUUAGGAAGUUUUAAAUUUAGCUGCUUUUAUCUAAAAAUAAAAAUAAAAUAAUAAAAUAAAUAUUUGUGCAGCUUUCUGAGAUUUGGUGUGUUUUUGUAAUGUUUCACUACAAAACUACACAAACACACAAAAUCCCACAAAGCUGUAUGUGGUAUUUUGUGUGUGUAAAGUGUAAAAUUUGUUUUUGGGGCUUUUUGUGGCUGUGUGCGGUUCCUGCUUGUUGCAGGGGCCAUUUUGGGUCAAGCACAACUGUUUAUACGUUGUGGUGAGUCUUUUGUGUUGUGUUGUGUAUAAAGUGUAAAAGUUGUUUUUUGGGCUUUUUGCGGCUGUGUGCAGUUCCUGCUUGUUGCAGGGGCCAUUUUGGAUCAAGCACAGCUGCUUUUAUGUUGUCGUUGAGUCUGUUGUGUUGUGUUGUGUGUGUGUGUAAAGUGUAAAAGUUGUUUUUUGGGAUUUUUGUGGCUUUUGUGUGCUUUUACAUUGUGUGUCAUCGGCUAACAAAGCUCCUUUUUUCCUUUUUGCAAUAGCUGCUGCCUUUAAGAGGAAGGAUGAAAAGGCAACAGACUUUGAUGGGUUUCUUGGCCAAGAAACCAAAACUUGAACAACAACCAGCAGAAGUGGAACAAGAACCAUCCCCAGUGCCACAAGCGCUACCACCUGAAACCGGAUAAAACAGCAAAGCAAGUAUAGAGUCACCCGCUGCACCUAAAAUCGGAACCAUUCUUCCAGACUGCUGGACAGUACAGCUACUUCCAAAAGAAGUAUGACGGGUUAGAAGUUUCAAACAAGAAACUAGGUUGUAAAUACUGUGCUAAACAUGGCUUCACUAUGGAGAGCGGUAUUCAUGUAAGCAAAGAGUGGAAGCUUUUCAAGAUUGAGCCAGCUGGGAAAAACAAGGAAGUGCACCAGGCGUCUCUACAGAAGAAAAUGAGACAAUAUUUUAUAUUGAAAUUGCACACAUUUUUAGAGACAACGUCAAACAAACUGAGCAGGAAGCCAUAACAAAAGCAAUGGACAAGAUUUCUGAAAUGCAAUUUGCCACCACUUCUAAAAUGUUCAAAACUGUUUACAGCCUGGCGAAAGCAUGCAGACCAAUUUCAAGAAUCGAGGAAUUGAUAGAAUUACAAACUGAAAAUGGGCUAGAUCUGGGAAUAGGGUUGCAUUCAAGACCAUCAGUUGUCAAAAUAGUUGAGUGCAUUGCAAACGAAAUUAAAACCUAAAUGUUUUCCAGCAUCAUUGCACAGAAUCUGAAAAUAUGUCUAAUCAUUGAGGAAGCCUCAACAGUAUCCUGCAAACCAGUUCUGAUAGUUUUCUUAAAAGUUGAGGACUCAAAGGACCCAUCAACAAUUUUUGUCGAGCUGGUUGAAUUGAAGAAACAAGAUGCAGAAACAAUAUGUUCUGCAAUUUUUGAAAGUUUACAUAAGGUUGGAUUUACCCGGGACUACCUACAAAAAAAUUUAAUAGCGUUCUGCUCUGAUGGUGCCAGCAUUAUGCUUGGGAGAAAAUCUGGAGAGAGCACCAGAAUAGCCAAAGAGUUUCCAAACAUCAUCAUAUGGCACUGCUUGAACCAUCAACUUGUUUUAGAUGACACCAUAAAGGAAAUAAAGCAAGUAAAUCAUUUUAAAAUUUUCAUUGAUAUACUCCAUUUUCCAGCAAUCGAAUAAAAACAGAAUUGAACUUGACAAAAUAUCUGAAGAACUUGAAAUUAACAUCAUAAGGAUUGGUCGAGUUUUUGGGCCAAGAUGGGCUGCCUGUAGUUUAAGGCCAACCAUAGCUGUGUGGCGUGCUUAUCCUGUGCUACAUCAAUAUUUUGAUGCAAAUGCAAAAUACUCGGGUAUGGAAAAUAAACAUUUCUUAAGUUAUUUGGCGUUGAUGAUAGACAUUUUGGAAGAAAUUUCACUUCUUUCAACUGCACUGCAAGCACGCAAUACGGACAUAAUAAAAGCUGAAAAACUGGUGAGAAGAUCAAUAAAGGCAUUUGAACUGCUAACAAAGGAAAAGGACCCAUACGAAAAACAAGUUGAAGGACUAAUUACCUCAGAAACCUUCAGGAAUAUAAAGUUCAUAGAAAACAAUCGAUUUGUUGGUCUUUAUCAAGAAAGACUUUUACAAAGUAUCAUCAAAAAUUUGUGUAAACGACUGAUGGACUGUGAGCAUUUAAAAACUGAGAACCAACUGCAAAUAAACUACAGUUUCUAAGUUUUUGGUGCCAGAGUACUGGGAUGUUGAGGAAAUAGUCGUUCCAUGGGCAGCAGCUGAAGAACAACUGCACAUAUUUAGUGACAUUUUCAACUACCAAAUUGACCUCAAUGACUACAGAGAUUUUGUGGAGAAUGUCUUGAAAGAUUCGAAGAGGUAUGCAAUUCCUGACAGUAUCAAAAAAGCAAUAGAUAUUGUCAGAACAAUUGCAGUGAGUUCUACAGAAGCAGAAAGGGGUUUUUCUAAAAUGAACCUGAUAUGUUCAGAGAGCAGAAGUCCUCUAGCCAUUUCCAAUCUAACCAACCUCAUGACCAUCACCGUUACUGGACUACCUCUUCCAAAAUGGGACCCUAUUCCGGCAGUGAAAAAAUGGUUCAGAGAACACCAUUGCUCAGCCAAUGAUCCGCGCAUCAAAUGCAAGAAAAGUGGAAGUGAAGAGAGUGCCACUGAAAUAGCUAUGUGGAAACGUCUCAUAGAUAAAGACGACUAACAGUUUUAUGUCGUUAUUAUCCUUGGUUCAAGACAACACUUUUAUUGCUCUUCUCUCCAAAAAAGCCAAAGAAGUGAUGUUGACUUGGCCACACCCACCAGUCACCUGACCACCAAGCCACACCCACCCAGUCACCAAGCCAUGCCCAC